rnacentral:rRNA from 1 species
AAGGGUGAGGAAUAAAUAGGUAACGUACCCCGUACUCCGGGAUAGCGUCUGAGUGCUUGCACUCUUCCGAAAGGGGCGGUAAUACCGGAUGACAUCACAAAUCGCAAGGUUUAUGAUCAAAGAUUUAUCGGUGUGGGAGCGGCCUAUUUCCUAUCAGCUAGUUGGUGAGGUAAUGGCUCACCAAGGCAACGACGGGUAGCGGGACUGAGAGGUUGACCCGCCACAUCGGGACUGAGACACUGCCCGGACCUCCACGGAGGGCUGCAGUAACGAAUAUUGCGCAAUGGACGAAAGUCUGACGCAGCAACGCCGCGUGUAGGAUGAAGCUCCUCGGAGUGUAAACUACUGUCAGGGGUUAGAAAGUCCUCGGAUUGAUCAGCCCCAGAGGAAGUCACGGCUAACUUCGUGCCAGCAGCCGCGGUAAUACGAAGGUGGCAAGCGUUGUUCGGAAUCACUGGGCUUAAAGCGCACGCAGGCGGAACAGAAAGUGUCUUGUGAAAUCCCCCGGCUUAACCGGGGAAUUGCUCGGCAAACUUCUGUUCUUGAGGCAAGUAGGGGUACAUGGAACUCUUGGUGGAGCGGUGGAAUGCGUAGAUAUCAAGAGGAACGCCAAUGGUGAAGACAGUGUACUGGGCUUGUCCUGACGCUGAGGUGCGAAAGCGUGGGGAGCGAACGGGAUUAGAUACCCCGGUAGUCCACGCCGUAAACGAUGUCUACUAGGUUGUGGUUGUUCUGACACAUUCACAGCCGAAGCAAAAGUGUUAAGUAGACCGCCUGGGG